UAAUGUAGAUUUACUUGGGUUAAUCAUGUUGUGAAAAGCUUCAGUAGAUUAUAAAUGGAUAAGUAAUGUAUUUGGCUAAAUGAACUGACCGACUGCACCCAAACUGUAAAGUCUUUUAUAUGUUUCCCUAUUAUACCAGGAUGAACAUGAUUUCUGGAAGAAACUGAUAGAGCGUUAUCUACUACCCAUACAAGAUGACAAAGCUCAUCUCGAGGAAGUGACACGGGAGCUCAAGUCGCUACGGAACAAGGCAGUGUUUUUGUACUUCAUAAUUAACGUCCUCUGGGUUGUAGCAACGUUCUUCCUUCAGGCCAUUGGCACUGAUGUUCUGAGCAUCAAUAUUCCAAAGUACUAUCCUAACGGAACUUUGGCACCAGACCCCUUGAGGGUGGAGCCUUUGAGUUUGAUGUUUCUGCUGUCUUUCGCCGUUCUGCUCAUCAUUCAGUUCUUGGCUAUGCUUUACCACAGAGUAUACACUCUCAUCCAUGUGGUAUCGUACAGAGGCACAGAGAAAGACUACAAAGAAAAAGAUAAGG